rnacentral:rRNA from 1 species
AUACGGAGGGUGCGAGCGUUGUUCGGAAUUAUUGGGCGUAAAGAGCAUGUAGGCGGUCUGUUAAGUCUGGUGUGAAAGCCCGGGGCUCAACCCCGGAAGUGCAUUGGAUACUGGCAGACUUGAGUAUGGGAGAGGAAAGCGGAAUUCCGAGUGUAGGAGUGAAAUCCGUAGAUAUUCGGAGGAACACCAGUGGCGAAGGCGGCUUUCUGGACCAAUACUGACGCUGAGAUGCGAAAGCGUGGGGAGCGAACAGGAUUAGAAACCCUUGUAGUCC